UACAGAGGUGCCAAGCGUUAGGCGGAAUCACUGGGCUUAAAGCGCGUGUAGGCGGGUCGUUAAGUGUCUUGUGAAAUCCCACGGCUCAACCGUGGAACUGCUGGGCAUACUGACGAUCUUGAGGCACUCAGGGGCUGUCGGAACAAAUGGUGGAGCGGUGAAAUGCGUAGAUAUCAUUUGGAACGCCAACGGUGAAAACAGACAGCUGGGAGUGUGCUGACGCUGAGACACGAAAGCCAGGGGAGCGAACGGG
rnacentral:rRNA from 1 species